rnacentral:rRNA from 1 species
UGGGGAAUAUUGGACAAUGGGCGCAAGCCUGAUCCAGCCAUGCCGCGUGUGUGAAGAAGGCCUUUUGGUUGUAAAGCACUUUAAGCGAGGAGGAGGCUACUUGGAUUAAUACUCUAGGAUAGUGGACGUUACUCGCAGAAUAAGCACCGGCUAACUCUGUGCCAGCAGCCGCGGUAAUACAGAGGGUGCGAGCGUUAAUCGGAUUUUCUGGGCGUAAAGCGUGCGUAGGCGGCUUCUUAAGUCGGAUGUGAAAUCCCUGAGCUUAACUUAGGAAUUGCAUUCGAUACUGGGAAGCUAGAGUAGGGGAGAGGAUGGUAGAAUUCCAGGUGUAACGGUGAAAUGCGUAGAGAUCUGGAGGAAUACCGAUGGCGAAGGCAGCCAUCUGGCCUAAUACUGACGCUGAGGUACGAAAGCAUGGGGAGCAAACAGG